rnacentral:misc_RNA from 1 species
UUUCCGUAGGUGAACCUGCGGAAGGAUCAUUAAUGAGUUGUCAUGGGGUUCGAUGCUGGCAGCCAAUUUUUGGAUGCAUGUGCUUGCCCUAACAAUCAUCUUCCAAACACCUGUGCACAGUUUUGAGGGAGUCUUGAGUUGGUUGCCGCUCUUGGGUGAUUUUCUCACAUUCCCUUAAAUCAUUAUACGCUAUUAACAAUGUUGAACGUGCUCUGUGCCGCAAGGCUAUUAAUAUAAUACAACUUUUAACAACGGAUCUCUUGGCUCUC